rnacentral:rRNA from 1 species
UACAGAGGGUGCGAGCGUUGUCCGGAAUCACUGGGCGUAAAGGGUGCGCAGGCGGCCGUGUGUGUGAGGCGUGAAAGCCCGGGGCUUAACCCCGGAAUUGCACCUCAAACUACACGGCUAGAGCAUUGGAGAGGGUAGCGGAAUUCACGGUGUAGCAGUGAAAUGCGUAGAUAUCGUGAGGAACACCAGAGGCGAAGGCGGCUACCUGGACAAUUGCUGACGCUCAGGCACGAAAGCGUGGGGAGCAAAAGGG